rnacentral:ncRNA from 2 species
ACUAAAUGUAGUGGUCAUGGUUCUUCUGAGUCUAUCCGGACUCAGGAGCUAAGAGGGAAGCCGGUGCGCGUGACUGCAAUGCCGGCGCUGCCCCCGCAACUGUAAGCAGCGAGUCGCUGUCCGUGUAACGCCACUGGUGUCGAGGCGCCGGGAAGGCUGGACAGCGGCGACGACCUGCGAGCCAGGAGACCUGCCGUGACGCCAUGAACGAA